rnacentral:rRNA from 1 species
CCUACGGGAGGCAGCAGUGGGGAAUAUUGCACAAUGGGGGAAACCCUGAUGCAGCGACGCCGCGGGAGGGAAGAAGGAGGUCGGGAUGUAAAGCUCUAUCAGCAGGGAAGAAAAUGACGGUACCUGAGUAAGAAGCCCCGGCGAACGACGUGCCAGCAGCCGCGGGAAUACGUAGGGGGCAAGCGUUCUCCGGAGUUACUUGGUGUAAAGGGAGCGUAGACGGCAGCACAAGUCUGGAGUGAACUGCCGGGGCUUACCCCCGGAACUGCUUGGGAAACGGUGCAGCGAGAGUGCCGGAGAGGUCAGUGGAAUUCCUAGUGUAGCGGUGAUCUGCGUCGCUCUUAGGCGGCACCCCAGUGGC